GACCGAGAGUUCAAGAGUACGUGAAACCGUUUGCAGGUAAACAGAUGGACCCACGAAGUCCUGUUAAGUAAGAGAUUCAUAUACUUUGGAAGGCUUGUGUUGAUUGUAUUCUUUUUAUUAAAGAUACUUUAAAUACAAAAGUCGACCAAAUGAUGCAUUUCUCUCGCUUACGUUGGAGCUCUGACUGCUCAUUAAAUGUCAAUUAUUGCUUGUGUAAGUGAUGUAGAGCUUCGGGCUCUAAACUUACUUUACUCAAGUGUAAAAUUGAGAUUACGAUGAGUAGGUGAAUUACUUACAAUUGUAAGUAUUUCAGAUCAUUAGUAUCGUUGAGAUAUUAAUUGAUGUUGUAAUGAGUUGAUUCAAGACUUGUGCUUGAAGACUUGUUAUCAUACAACAAUUGCAAAUAUCUCAUACAUUUACUAAUCGAUGAUCCAGAGUAAGUAGGUCGGUCAUCCAUCUGACCCGUCUUGAAACACGGACCAAGGAGCCCAACAUAUAUGCGAGUCGCACAGUCUUGAAUAGGCUUGUGAGGCGAAAUAAACAUGACGGUGUGACCAAUGAUAUUUAAAAUAUUAUUGAGCAACACCAACCUGUUCAUACUAUUUGCUUAGUUGAACGGCGUUUGAGCAUACAUGUUGGUACCCGAAAGAUGGUGAACUAUACUUGGGCAAGACGAAGCCAGAGGAAACUCUGGUGGAGGUCUGUAGCGAUUCUGACGUGCAAAUCGAUCGUCAGACCUGAGUAUA
rnacentral:rRNA from 1 species